rnacentral:lncRNA from 1 species
GAUGGUCUUUUGGUAAAUGGAUAUCACUUACUCAGGAAGACCUUACAACCAUUUCUCCUCUUCUAUCUGCACAGUGAGAGUAAGAAUGCUUGUUCUACAUAACUGGAAGCUCAAAGGAGAUGGUAGAUAUGAAGAAACCUGUGUCCCCAAUGGCACUCCUAGUGACCCUCAAAUGGACCCUAAUGCCAUCCUUUGAGAUGAAAGAGGGACUCUCAAAAACUGACCCUCUCUCAACUCUUGCCCAGCUCCUGGCACAAGUAAAUAGCUAAGUGCACGUUUAUGUUUUAUCACAGCGUGAGGGGCAUUUGGGGCGAAAACCAUAUAUUUGAAGCAAUUUAGAAACUCAUCUUAGGCAACUUGCCAGAGAGUUAAAACAUUAAACGAUUCCUUCUAGGUGCUCCAUAUCAUCACUUACUGUUUUAGCAAUGAAGUCGAUGGAGGAUUGCAAGGCUCCCUCUGCUCCUAUCCCCCACUUGCUCAUUCUCUCUUUCAAAAUAAAUGAAAUAAACUUUUAAAAAAUUGCUAUGAU